rnacentral:rRNA from 1 species
CCAACGGGAGAAGGGUUGUUAAGGAACUCGGCAAAUUGACCCCGUAACUUCGGGAGAAGGGGUGCUCCAGAGAUGGAGCCGCAGAGAAUCGGCCCAAGCAACUGUUUACCAAAAACACAGGUUUGUGCUAAAUCGAAAGAUGACGUAUACGAGCUGACGCCUGCCCGGUGCUGGAAGGUUAAGAGGAGAUGUGCAAGCAUUGAAUCGAAGCCCCAGUGAACGGCGGCCGUAACUAUAACGGUCCUAAGGUAGCGAAAUUCCUUGUCAGGUAAGUUCUGACCCGCAUGAAAGGCGUAAUGAUUUGGGCACUGUCUCAACAGCCCGCCCGGCGAAAUUGUAGUACCGGUGAAGAUGCCGGUUACCCGCGACAAGACGGAAAGACCCCAUGGAGCUUUACUGUAGCCUAAUAUUGGGUUUCGAUGUUGCAUGCACAGGAUAGAUGGGACACUGGGAAGCAAGAGCUUUGGCUUUUGUGGAGUGGCCGUUGGGAUACCAUCCUUGCGAUAUUGGAAUUCUAACCUGCGCCUUUGAAUCAAGGCGGGGGACAUUGUUAGGUGGGCAGUUUGACUGGGGCGGUCGCCUCCUAAAGAGUAACGGAGGCGUUCAAAGGUUCGCUCAGCUUGAACGGAAAUCAAGCAAAAGAGUGCAAACGCAGAAGCGAGCCUAACUGCGAGACUGACGGGUCGAGCAGUAACGAAAGUUGGAGUUAGUGAUCCGGUGGUAUGUGAGUGGAAAUGCCAUCGCUCAACGGAUAAAAGUUACCCUGGGGAUAACAGGCUGAUCUCCCCCAAGAGUCCACAUCGACGGGGAGGUUUGGCACCUCGAUGUCGGCUCAUCGCAUCCUGGGGCUGUAUUCGGUCCCAAGGGUUUGGCUGUUCGCCAAUUAAAGCGGUACGCGAGCUGGGUUCAGAACGUCGUGAGACAGUUCGGUCCCUAUCUGUCGUGGGCGCAGGAUAUUUGAUGGGAGCUGUUCCUAGUACGAGAGGACCGGAGCGGACGUACCUCUGGCGCACCAGUUGUUCUGCCAAGAGCAUAGCUGGGCAACUAUGUACGGAUCGGAUAAACGCUGAAAGCAUCUAAGCGUGAAGCCGACCCAAAGAUAAGAUAUCCCACUGAUUCAAUCAGGUAAGAUCCCUUGAAGACUACAAGGUUGAUAGGCACAAUGUGUAAGUGGAGUGAUCCAU